GAUGAACGCUGGCGGCGUGCCUAAUACAUGCAAGUCGAGCGAACAGACGAGGAGCUUGCUCCUCUGACGUUAGCGGCGGACGGGUGAGUAACACGUGGAUAACCUACCUAUAAGACUGGGAUAACUUCGGGAAACCGGAGCUAAUACCGGAUAAUAUAUUGAACCGCAUGGUUCAAUAGUGAAAGACGGUUUUGCUGUCACUUAUAGAUGGAUCCGCGCCGCAUUAGCUAGUUGGUAAGGUAACAGCUUACCAAGGCAACGAUGCGUAGCCGACCUGAGAGGGGGAUAGGCCACACUGGAACUGGGACACGGUCCAGACUCCUACGGGAGGCAGCAGUAGGGAAUCUUCCGCAAUGGGCGAAAGCCUGACGGAGCAACGCCGCGUGAGUGAUGAAGGUCUUCGGAUCGUAAAACUCUGUUAUUAGGGAAGAACAAAUGUGUAAGUAACUAUGCACGUCUUGACGGUACCUAAUCAGAAAGCCACGGCUAACUACGUG
rnacentral:rRNA from 1 species